UACGUAGGGUGCAAGCGUUACUCGGAAUUACUGGGCGUAAAGCGUGCGCAGGCGGUUCUGUAAGUCUGUCGUGAAAUCCCCGGGCUUAACCUGGGAAUUGCGAUGGAGACUGCAAGGCUAGAAUCUGGCAGAGGGGGGUAGAAUUCCACGUGUAGCAGUGAAAUGCGUAGAGAUGUGGAGGAACACCGAUGGCGAAGGCAGCCCCCUGGGUCAAGAUUGACGCUCAUGCACGAAAGCGUGGGGAGCAAACAGG
rnacentral:rRNA from 1 species